rnacentral:lncRNA from 1 species
UCAUCACUCCCAGCUUCAUCCCUACCUCAAUUCAAACUUUAAAACACACACACACUCUUUCUCCCUGUCCGUCAAAGAUCUAGAUCUGGAGUUGGAUUUGGAUUUGAUCUCUCUUCGCGAUACACCAUAAGUCUCUGCUAUGGAGGAGGGCCGACCACCGUUCUGGACACCUUCCCUCAUGCAGACACAUGUAGAGGAGAACGGAGCGACAGAGCCCUAGACGCAGGUUCUUUAUAUCUCUUUGAAGUUUGAUGCUUAAAACAGAGAUAAAGAUUGAAUCAUCUGGUGUGAUGGAUAAAUUACAGAAAGAGAAGGGCUGUAAACCAACAAGAUUCUCAUCGUCCACUCCCUCUGUUCAUACUUCAUCUUAAUAAUAAUGUAUAAACAGGUAAAAAGUAAGUAAAAUAUAGUUUCUG